GAACUUUCUGUGUGCUCUGUGCUGCAGACAGACAAGUGAAGCCAUGUGCACUCAGGCCGGUGCCAAAUUCAAGAUCAAAUUCAAGAUCAUAGAACAGAUACAGAUGGACAUCAUAUUAUAUUUUUGUUGUUCUGUCAACAUUAUUGUGCAUCUGCAUUAUACUUGUACCCUAGCCCUAUACUAUAAGUUAUUCUCUGGUUUAUUACAAUGUCAUAUUUAAAAUGUUUUAAUACCUGGAAAAUUUGAAGCCUAAUAAAAGUUUAAAUUAC